CUGGGGCCAGGCUGUGUUCUGGUGUCGAGAGGAGGGGAGGCUGGAAGCACACAGUCUGGGCCAGGGCCUGGGUUCAGCCUCCUGAUGCCAGGAGCCUGGGCCCUGUGGGAAAGGGGCACGUGGGGGGCUUUGCUGCCCUGGCACCCCCUUGCUCCAUCAUCUUACCUUGGCCUGGACAGGUGGGGCUGGCAGGAAUCUGGGCCCAGAGCUCUAGGGCUGUGGGCAGCUGUGGGGCCAAUGGUGACAGCACUGAGUGGGGCCGGACCAGUCCUGCCCAUUGCUCACAUGUUGUGUGUGAUUGUGUAUGUGUUUGUGUGGGUGCACUCACACUAAUGUUUGGACGACGCAGGUGGGGAGUCCACCCCAGCCCAACCACAGCAGCCCCUUCUCCACUCAUGCUUGCUCGCCCCGAGCCCCAGGCUUGGCCCCCAAAACCCAGGGGACCUCACCUGCUGCUCAGCCUCUGCCUUCCCCGCACCACUCCCCACCACCCCCACGGGCCUCCCCUCAGGCCGAGCUUUCUGGAGUCCUCCUGCCUGCCCCCCGCCUGGCUUCCUGCUGGUCGUCCUGGGGCUCUCAGGGAAGAUGUCACCCUCAUGGGGACAUUCCUUCCUCCUGCUUAUUGCCCCCUUAGUUCCUUCUACCUCCUGCUUCAUCUUGCUGAGUUAGGAAAUUUCUGGGCUAAAUUUCAGAGGAGACUCACUAACAGGCAGGCCCUUAAUUAAUUCAUUGAUUCACUCUAAAGUCAAGGCCAGUCAGGAGCUUUUGCCGCCACCCCACAAUUAUUUUUCGAGCUGGAAUCUUUUGGUUUUGGAGACAGGGUCCCAUUCUGUCAGCCAGGUUGGAGUGUGAUGCCUGAGUUACGGCUCCCUGCAGCUUCGGACCUCCCAGGCUCAAGCAAUCUUCCCACCUCAGCCUCUCACGUAGCUGGCACCAAUGGCAUGUGCCACCACACCUGACUCAUUUUUUAUUUUGUGUAAAGACAUGGUUUUGCUAUGUUGCCCAGGCUGGUCUCGAACCUCCACCUCAGCCUCCCAAAGUGUCUGGAUUUACAGACAUGAGCCACUGCGCUCACCUUCCUCUUUUUUUUUUUUUUUUUUUUUUGAGGCAGGGUCUCAUUUGUCACCAGGCUGGACUGCGGUGGCAUGAUCAUGGCUCACUGCCUCAGCCUUAGCCUCAGCCUCCCCAGUAGCUGGGCUUAUUGGCACCAGCCACCAUGCCUGGCUAAUUUUUUUUGUUUUGUUUUGUAGAGUCUCACUGUGUUGCCCAGGCUGCUCUCAAACUCCUGGCUUCAAGUGAUCCUCCUGCCUCAGCCUCUCAGACCACUGGGAUCACAAGUGUGAGCCACUGGGCCCAGCUGGGUCUUGUCGUUUGGCAACAACAUUCGUUCCCAGCCCCUGCCAUGCUGUCCCCUGAGUGGCAAGGGCUGUUGCCAUAUUUCCCAGUGAAAUGCCCUGGUAAGAUCUGGAGGGCAGGAGGCAGGCAGAAGCCAUUCAUCCGUGGUUGGCAGUAGCUGGUGAGGGGGCGAAUUCAGCCCUGCCCGGCCACUUUGGGAGGCCAAGACAGGUGGAUCACCUGAGGUCGGGAGUUCAAGACCAGCCUUACCAACAUGGAUAAUCCCCAUCUCUACUAAAAAAUACAAAAUUAGCCAGGCAUGGUGGCGCAUGCCUGUAAGGUGGGCACUGAGCUGGAACAUGGUCUGGACUGCACAGAGCUUGGUAUCCCCAAGGGCAUCAGGUGGUAGAGGGUGCUAAGGGAUCUAGAUGGGGCCCUACAGGACCAGCCCUUCCUUCCCAGGAAACAGAAGGACCAAGACGACCAAUCCUCUGAGAAUACACGCCACAGCCUGGGCCUCCCCUUGCCCCAGGUAACAGCAACCAAGAAUCCCAGGAAUGGAGGCUUUGGCUCUUCCUCCAGCCGGGGAAGACCUGCUGCUUCUGCUUUGAAAUCCCUGGACCUCAGAGGAAGGGCUGUAACCAGACAUUAUGACAGGCGACUCUGGCAUGAAGGACAGAUUGGCUUCGGUGACACAUCCAACAGUGGAUGAGUUGGCGGAUGAAGCAAGAGCUUGUGAAAUACUAAGCAGUGAGCUGUCCUUCCAUCCAGAGGCAAGAAGGCGCUGGAGAACAGUAACAGCCAGAAAAGCGUAUGUUCCCUUUAUGAUUUCUUAGGGUCUUUGGCUGGGCUUUGAACUCUACCAGUUUCCCCUGGAGGAACUCCAGAAACACUGGCUUUAUCUGAGUGUAGUAAAUCCGCAGCACCCACAGAUGAGUGGGUGCUCAGCAGCACCUCAACAGGGCCGACCACGGUGGUUGCACUGAUCUUCAGCCUACUGGAAUUUCCAGGUCUUCAACAGAACUUGGUCCCCUGGUUUCAAAUUUUAAUUUAAUUUUUUUUAAUUUGAGAUAAGCGUCUCGAUCUGUCACCCAGGCUGGAAUCCAGUGGCUCAAUGUUGGCUCACC
rnacentral:lncRNA from 1 species